GCAUAUCAUUAAGCGGAGGAAAAGAAAGCAACAGCGAUUGCCCUAGUAACGGCGAGUGAAGCGGCAACAGCCCAGAUUUGAAAUCUGGCUCCCUGUCGGGGGUCCGAGUUGUAAUCUGUAGAGGGUGUCUUUGGCGAAGCCCCCGCCGAGUCCAUUGGAACAUGGCGCCGCAGAGGGUGAGAGCCCCGUGCGGCGGGCGGCUUAGCUUAUACAGGACCCCUUCGGAGAGUCGCGUAGUUUGGGAAUGCUGCGCAAAACGGGAGGUAUGCUCCUCCUAAGGCUAAAUACCGGCCAGAGACCGAUAGCGCACAAGUAGAGUGAUCGAAAGAUGAAAAGCACCUUGAAAAGGGGGUAAAAUAGUACGUGAAAUUGCUGAAGGGGAAGCGCUCGUGACCAGACUCGUGUCUGGCGGAUCAUCUAGCCCAUGCGGCUAGUGCACUCCGCCUGGCUCGGGCCAGCGUCGGGUGGUCCUAGGGUGCAAAGGUAGUGGGAACGUGGCUCCCUUUCGGGGGAGCGUUAUAGCCCGCCACACAAUGCCCCGGAACCGCCCGAGGUACGCGCUUCCGCAAGGACGCUGGCGUAAUGGUCAUCGGCGGCCCGUCUUGAAACACGGAUCAGGGAGUCGUCCUGGCGCGCGAGUAUGCGGGUGUAAAGCCCCUGUGCGAAGUGAAAGCAAACGCUGGCGGGAGCCCUCUGGGCGCACCGUCGACCGAUCCUGAUGUCUUCGGAUGGAUUUGAGUAAGAGCGUGUCGGGCCGGACCCGAAAGAGGGUGAACUAUGCUUGCGUAGGGCGAAGCCAGAGGAAACUCUGGUGGAGGCUCGCAGAGGUUCUGACGUGCAAAUCGAUCUUCAAACGUGAGCAUGGGGGCGAAAGACUAAUCGAACCUUCUAGUAGCUGGUUUCCGUCGAAGUUUCCCUCAGGAUAGCAGUGUCGAUUCUCAGUUUUAUGAGGUAAAGCGAAUGAUUAGGGACUCGGGGGCGCUAUUAUUGCCUUCAUCCAUUCUCAAACUUUAAAUAUGUAAGAAGCCCUUGUUGCUUGA
rnacentral:rRNA from 1 species